UACAGAGGGUGCGAGCGUUAAUCGGAAUUACUGGGCGUAAAGGGUGCGUAGGUGGUUUUGUAAGUAACAUGUGAAAGUCCUGAGCUUAACUUGGGGAUUGCGUGUUAAACUGCAGAGCUAGAGUGUUGUAGAGGGUGGCGGAAUUUCCGGUGUAGCGGUGAAAUGCGUAGAUAUCGGAAGGAACAUCAGUGGCGAAGGCAGGUCUCUGGGCCACUACUGACGCUGAGAAGCGAAAGCAUGGGGAGCGAACAGG
rnacentral:rRNA from 1 species